rnacentral:misc_RNA from 1 species
GAUGAAGAACGCAGCGAAAUGCGAUAAGUAAUGUGAAUUGCAGAAUUCAGUGAAUCAUCGAAUCUUUGAACGCACAUUGCGCCCGUCAGUAUUCUGGCGGGCAUGCCUGUUCGAGCGUCAUUACGCCCCUCAAGUCCCCUGUGGACUUGGUGUUGGGGAUCGGCGAGGCUGGUUUUCCAGCACAGCCGUCCCUUAAAUUAAUUGGCGGUCUCGCCGUGGCCCUCCUCUGCGCAGUAGUAAAACACUCGCAACAGGAGCCCGGCGCGGUCCACUGCCGUAAAACCCCCCAACUUUUUAUAGUUGACCUCGAAUCAGGUAGGACUACCCGCUGAACUUAAGCAUAUCAAUAAGUGGAGGA